rnacentral:misc_RNA from 1 species
UUUCCGUAGGUGAACCUGCGGAAGGAUCAUUAUUGUAUAACCGAGGAUCAAGUGCUGUCGCUGACCCACUUGUUUGUGCACGCCCGAGUGCCCCCACACCCAUCCAUCUAACCCCCGUGUGCACCACCGCGGGGGUCCCCCUUUGACCUAUGCGGGCGGCGGUUUACGGUUUUACACAAAGUAUGUGGGCCGUAUAGAAUGUAUUUAGUGUGUUUUCGAACACGCAAGCUAUACAACUUUCAACAAUGGAACACUUGGCUCUCUCAGUGAUGAAGAGGG